rnacentral:rRNA from 1 species
GUGGGGAAUAUUGGGCAAUGGGCGAAAGCCUGACCCAGCAACGCCGCGUGAAGGAAGAAGGUCUUCGGAUUGUAAACUUUUGUCUUAUGGGACGAUAAUGACGGUACCAUAGGAGGAAGCCACGACUAACUACGUGCCAGCAGUCGCGGUAAUACGUAGGUGGCGAGCGUUAUCCGGAAUUAUUGGGUGUAAAGGGUGCGUAGGCGGGUCGUAAAGUCAGAUGUGAAAUGCGGAGGCUCAACCUCCGAACUGCAUUUGAAACUUACGAUCUUGAGUGGAGUAGAGGCAAGCGGAAUUCCCGGUGUAGCGGUGAAAUGCAUAGAUAUCGGGAGGAACACCAGUGGCGAAGGCGGCUUGCUGGGCUUUUACUGACGCUGAGGCACGAAAGUGUGGGGAGCAAACAGGAUUAGAAACCCCAGUAGUCC